rnacentral:lncRNA from 1 species
CCAGACACCACCGAGAGACACAGGGCUUUUUAGCGUUCACUGUAUUUUCACUUCCACCGGAUCCAAUGUGAUAAUUUAUGUGAAAUCUUUCUGCAAACUAUACAGUAUGAUAAAAAUAUAAGGUAGUUUCACUGGAAACAACAGAAGACUAGAAGCUGAUGUGACGUGGCAAUAUCAACCAGGAGUGGGUGGACAUUUGGCAUCCAGGAUGUGGUUCCAAGCUUGAGCCA